rnacentral:rRNA from 1 species
GAUGAACGCUGGCGGUAUGCCUAACACAUGCAAGUCGUACGAGAGUUUUUAACUCUAGUGGCGGACGGGUGAGUAACACGUGAGAAUUUGCCUUUAGGAGGGGGACAACAAUCGGAAACGAAUGCUAAUACCCCAUAUGCUUUCGAGUGAAAUGGAUUUUAUCCGCCUAGAGAGAAGCUCGCGGCUGAUUAGCUUGUUGGUAAGGUAAGAGCUUACCAAGGCGACGAUCAGUAUCUGGUUUGAGAGGACGAUCAGACACACUGGAACUGAGACACGGUCCAGACUCCUGCGGGAGGCAGCAGUGGGGAAUCUUGCACAAUGGAGGAAACUCUGAUGCAGCGAUGCCGCGUGAGUGAAGAAGGCCUUUGGGUUGUAAAGCUCUUUUGUAGGGGAAGAUAAUGACUGUACCCUAAGAAUAAGGUCCGGCUAACUUCGUG